GACAGAGGUGCCGAGCGUUAGGCGGAAUCACUGGGCUUAAAGCGCGUGUAGGUGGCGGCCUAAGUACCUUGUGAAAUCCUGCGGCUCAACCGCAGAACUGCUUGGUAUACUGGGUCGCUUGAGUCAUCCAGGGGCAACUGGAACAAGCGGUGGAGCGGUGAAAUGCGUAGAUAUCAGGAGGAACACCAAUUGCGAAGGCAGCUCGCUGGGACGUUACUGACGCUGAGACGCGAAAGCGUGGGGAGCAAACAGG
rnacentral:rRNA from 1 species